CAAGUCGAACGCAGUAGCAAUACUGAGUGGCAGACGGGUGAGUAACAUGUGGGAAUCUGCCUUGUGGUUCAGGACAACAUUGGGAAACCGAUGCUAAUACUGGAUAAGCCCUUACGGGGAAAGUUUUAAUGCCAUAAGAUGAGCCCGCAUUUGAUUAGUUAGUUGGUGAGGUAAUGGCUCACCAAGACAAUGAUCAAUAGCUGAUCUGAGAGGAUGAUCAGCCACACUGGGACUGAGACACGGCCCAGACUCCUACGGGAGGCAGCAGUGGGGAAUCUUGCACAAUGGAGGAAACUCUGAUGCAGCGAUGCCGCGUGAGUGAAGAAGGCCUUUGGGUUGUAAAGCUCUUUUGUAGGGGAAGAUAAUGACUGUACCCUAAGAAUAAGGUCCGGCUAACUUCGUGCCAGCAGCCGCGGUAAUACGAAGGGACCUAGCGUAGUUCGGAAUUACUGGGCGUAAAGCGCGCGUAGGCCGUUGAGUUAGUUAAUUGUGAAAUCCCAAAGCUUAACUUUGGAACUGCAAUUAAAACUGCUCGACUAGAGUUUGAUAGAGGAAAGCGGAAUACAUAGUGUAGAGGUGAAAUUCGUAGAUAUUAUGUAGAACACCAGUUGCGAAGGCGGCUUUCUGGAUCAACACUGACGCUGAGGCGCGAAAGUAUGGGUAGCAAAGAGGAUUAGAUACCCUCGUAGUCCAUACCAUAAACGAUGAUUGCUAGAUGUUGGAAAUUUAUUUUCAGUAUCGCAGCUAACGCAUUAAGCAAUCCGCCUGGGGAGUACGACCGCAAGGUUAAAACUCAAAUGAAUUGACGGG
rnacentral:rRNA from 1 species